GGACGUGGUGGGUUGGUUAUGUCUCACAACCAUGGAGAAGCCUCUGUUGGAAUCUUCUUGGGCUUCCCAGCAGUGCACUCCUUUCUUGUCACUCGAGGGCUGGGGUCAGCUAGUCUCAGGGUAGUGUCGGACCUACAUUUGUGGCCUUGGUCUGUAGGCUGCAGGACUAUAGUUUUCUUGCUUCUAGUGUCUGCCCCCUGGUGAGUGAGGCUGGUUUAGAAGCUUUUGCAGACUUUCUGGUGGGAGGGGCAGGUGCCUGCCUCCUGGUGGGUGGAGCUGGGUGUUGGCUGUCUGGUGGGCAGGGCUGUGUUUAGGGGCAGGUCUAGAGGAGAAUGUGGGCUCAGGUCUUUAGGCAGCCUGCUUGCUGAUGGGUAGGGCAGUGUCCCCACCCAGUUUGUUUUUUGGCCUAGGGUGUCCCAGUACUGGAUCCUAUAGGCUGUUAGGUGGGGUCAGUUCCUGGUAUCAAGCUGUCAGCCUCCAGGAGGGCUCACAUAGAGGAGUGUGCCCUAAUAUAUCUGCCACUAGUGCGUCCCUAGGUUGAGCCACUGCUGCCCCCUGCCUUCCCAGGAGCCACGCCAAGACCAGCGGGUAGGUCUGGCUCGGUUCCUAUCAAAUCAGGGCUCUGCCCUUUGUCCCAGUGUAUGUGAGGUGUCAUCUUUAAGAGUGAAGUGUCAAUUUCCCCCAGUUCUGUGAAUAUCCUGCAGUCAAGCCCUACUGGCCUUCACAGCUAAAUGCUCAGGGGGCUCCUCUUCCUGGUGCUGGACCCCCAGGCUGGAGCUCAGAACUCUCACUCCUAUCGGAGAGCCUCUGUAAUGCAAUUAUUCUCCCAGGUGUGAUUGCCCACCUUGGGGUAUGGGAUUUGAUUGUAUUGUGAGUCUGCUCUUCCUACCAGUCUUGUUGUAGUUCCUUCUUUAUGUCUUUAGUUUAGAAGAUCUUUCUUGGUGGGUGUCAGUCUUUUUCAGUGAUGGUGGUUCUGCAGAAGACUGCGAUGUUGGUGUGCUCGCGAGCUUAGGGUCCUUCCCUGCCGUCUUGGUCCGACUCUCUGUGGUGCACAUUUAACACACCUGUACUCACCUCUGCUUGGGGCAUGUGAAUGGCUGAUUGCUCUUUUGCAGGCAGUAUGAUCGUGUGUUUCUGUGUAUGUUACUUUUGUGGAGGGUAAAAGUGGUCCCUCACAGUUUAGCAAAUCUCCAAAAUUCAUGACGGGAAUGUCCGUGAAAAUACGGCGACUGAUCUCAUGCCAGAAAUGCCUUUUAUUGUAUGUGGCAAAAUGGUCUUAUGUACAUAUUAUUUUAUUCACAAAGAGAAGUCAUACUUUCCCCGAAAGGUGAGAGGUAUGGUACACAUCAGAGAUUUUCUUCCUGAAAGGGAAACCUUUCUUCAUUGCUUUACAACUAAAUCAUAGGAACUUACAUAUACAGUGAUUGCUUUUUGAUCACUAGAACGUCUUUUUUCAUAGUUCUUUUGUGUCAUUGCAGUGUUGGGCUCCUUUUUAUGAGACAAUAAAGAGUGUAAAAUGGAUGCCCGGUCAGUGGUUCCCAAGGAUAGGGCAGCUUGGUGUGGCCAGACAGGUGAAAACUCGAUUUGGAAGCACAUUCUUCUUCCUGAUGGAAAUCACCAAUAUCAGUUUUUCCUCCGCCCCACAGUCACCAGGUUUCGUUUUCUUUUUGUAGGAAUGUGCUGUAGGAGAAUUUUCUACAUUGUUUUGAAUUGUAUCAGGUCCAGAGAGAAUUAGCAAGACAGGGAGCUCUCCCUCAAAUUUCCUCUGACCAGGUGGCCGAGAGCAUCCUUUAGGGUGUGGUGUGCUGGGGUUUGUUGCGCUCAUGUGCAUCUCUGUAGAGAGUCAAGUCUGGGCUUCUUCCCUUGAGGUUUUGUGUAACUGUGGACACUUUAACGACUGAAUGCCGGUGAGAUGGCAGUAGACGUUUGGGCUCUGGCUGCACAUGAGGCAGCCAAACUGAGGAGGAGUAAAUAAGGUAGGUGGGAAAUUGAAGGCUUCUGAAGACAGGUUCUUAUCGUUCCUGCAGUGCAGUGGGACCUGGGGAUAAAACUGACCCAGAACUCAAUGCCACAGAUGCAGCCACUGGUUUAGUCUUCUUAUCCUGUAACAUCCUUACUGUUUAUUUCCUUCUUGGUUAUUCCAUCAGCUUCAGAUGAAGAAAGAACAGCAGAGCCCAUUACUUACAGAAUACAGUUUUAUUUAACCUUCUUGAAGGUAUGUUAAGAUCAUUUUGUAUAAAUCUUCCAGAUACUGGCAUUUUCAUUUCCAAUUUUUUCCUGUAGGUUCAAGGUCUUGCAAUUUAAAAAACUUUGAAAAGAAUCUUUAAGUAUGUGUUCAAGAAUUUUUUAACAGUUUGAUUGCAUCUUCCCUAGGUAUACGUCCUUCAUUUUGCAUCUCAGAAACUUGUGCCUUUGUUCUCCAGGAGCCACAUUGUCAGUGAAUGUUGAACUUACGGUGGACUGUUGACAAACAGUUGUCUCUCAUUUUGAAAGUUGUUUUAAUUUUUCAAAAAUAUAAACACAUGAGCUGUUUGUUUUUUCAGCUUGCUUUAAAAAAGGAAAAUGUAAAUAGAAUCCUGCAAAUAUUAUACCAGAGAGGUUACCUUGUGUGGUGGCUGGGUUGUGGGUAUGUUCUGAGGUGGAGACCCUGCUGGCUUUGGGUUGUACUCCGGUGCAACCCUGCAGAAGGCUGACCCUAACAGGCUGCAGCUGCUCUCUUCCCGGAACAUUUAUCUGGGUCACCAGAAAAUUAAGAAUCUUACACAGAGAAUCUCUGCAGGAACAUUAUUAAGUAAAAGACUUUGUCUCAGAGGCCAAAGGUGAGGAUAGGUUUCUUUUCUGUUUUUUUUUUUUUUUUUUUUUUUUUAAAUGAAAACUUAAGCUUUGUUGCUAAUGGGCCUCCUCUGUGCAUAGCUUUAGGAAACAGCUCUGUCAUCAAGUGAGACAUCUCAGGGAAAGCAGCUUUGCAUUUUUCAUUUUGUUUUUGUCACUAGCUGUGUUCAUUAAAAUACUUACAUUUUUUAUUUUUUUAAUUUCCUCAAUACCUUUUUUUUUCUGCUGUGCAGCCUGGUGACCCAUUACACAUACAUGUAUACAUUCUAUUUUCUCCCAUUAUCAUGCUCCAUUAUAAGUGACUAGACAUAGUUCCCAGUGCCACACAGCAGGAUCUCAUUGCUAAUCCAUUCCAGAGGCAAUAGUCUGCAUCUAUUAUCCCAAGCUCCUGGAUUAGGAAGAUGUAGUAUAUAUACACAAUGGAAUACUACUCAGCCAUAAAAAAGAACAAAAUAAUGCCAUUUGCAGCAACAUGGAUGGAACUAGAGACUCUCAUACUGAGUAAAACACUUUUAAGAACACUGAUUUCUGGUUUGAAAAAAAAUCACUUGUGUGGAACUGGUAGCACUUGUGUGGAGUGUUAAAGGGCAGUGUUCCACAAGGCUCUGUCAAAGUCUUGGUGUUUGUACCCCUAGGUGUAUGUGCCUUGUAGGUAUGCAUAUGUACCAUGUGUGUGUGGCACAUGUGUGUUUGUAUACUAUGUGGGUGUUGUAUGUCCAUAGGUACCAUGCAUACAUUGUACACGUGUGUCUGUACCAUGUACAUGUGUAUUAUACUUGCACAUGUAAAUUUAGCCAAGGAAGGGAAGGAACUGGCAGUGGUAAAUGUAAGACUUUGAAACUCAGGAAGGCAAAAUAAAUGGGAAGAUAAAGUGUGUUCAUGGAUCAGGAGAAUUAAUAUUGUGCAUAUGUGUGCACAUUUGUAUGUAUGCACAGAUACCAUAACCACUCUGCACAUAUGUGGCCUGUAUAUUAUAUAUGUGUUUAUGCAUGUACAUUGUAUGUAUAACAUAUACUACAUGCACACAUGUGUAUGUGUACAUUGUGUGCAUUUACACUGUAUAUAUGCUAUAAAAAUACACUAUAUGUGUAUAUGUGUGCAUUACAUAUAUUUCAUACAUGCACUAUAUGUAUAUAUAUACAUACAUUCUAUGCAUGUAUGAUGUGCAUAUACUCUGUAUGUACAUAGUGUAUACAUUAUGGUUAAUGUUAGUGCAUAUGUUCAUUGUGUGUAUGCAUGUAUACAUGCCAUAGAUGCUGUGUAUCCAUGCUGCAUUAUAUAUGUAUGAACACUGUGUGUAAACUACGUGUGUAUCCACUGUAAGGAUAUAUAUGGCUGUUUCUCUGUAUGUGUGGACACACUAUGCAUGUGCUGUAUAUGUGCAUACACUCUGUAUAUGUCUGCAUAAUAUGUAUAUAUGAACACUAAACUAUAUGUGUAUCCACCGUAAGGAUAUAUAUGGCUAUAUUAUGUGUGCGCAUGUAACUAUCUUUGUAUGUGUGGACACUCUGUGCAUGUGCUGUAUAUGUGCGUACACUCUCUAUAUGUCUGCACAGUAUGUAGUGUCAGGAAUACAGCUCCAGCAGGGCUCCAGCGCAUGACCAUUUGGCUGGCUUGGGGAGAGUAAUGUGUGAAACACUCGUUCCGGAUCGCAUAGUAUACGAAAUUUGGCAAGUUAAUGGGCCUUUGCAAUGAUGUAGGGACCAAACACUUCACUGAUGGAUGUGUGUGUGUUCACUUAAUCAUCAUAACAGCCCUGUGAAGUAGGUUUUAUCUCCAGAUGAGGACUGAGAUUUACUGGUGACUUGUGUAAGGAAAGGAAACUUAAAAGUAAUGGUAGCAUCAUGUCAACUAUCUUUUCUUCAUUUACUUUCUUAUCACAACCUUUGUUAGCAUUUAACUAACAACCUGGAAGUUGCCACUCAUCAGGAAAUAGGAUCAUCUUCCAACUGUUUAUAUUUAUUCAAAGAGUAGUGACUGCUGUUUUCCUGUCACUGUGUAGCAAAAUGCCAUUAAUGUUGCCAGUGUGAGCAGUUCAAAAUAAACACAGUAUCACUCUUAAAAUUGAAAAUGAACAUAAGUUCAUUUUUUAGGUAUUGUUUGGAAGGAUAAGAAAAAAGACAUUUAAGAUGAAAGGAGGGUUUCUUUGCCAUUUCUUUGGGAAUUUCCUUUUGGUGGAUUAUUGCUAGAAUAUUCUUUUUUUUUUUUUCUUCCCCUCAGGGUUCUGCUUUUGGUGAAACGAAAGUAGUUAAAGUCUUUGGGUUUUGUCUCAGCCAAGUUCAGCUUACUAAUUACUACAGUAAAUCACAUAAAAUUACAUACUAGUUAAUAUAAGUACCUGGAAGGCAGGAGUUGGUUUUAUACUUUUUGUAGCUACAGCACUAAUGGCUGCAAACUGUUCCUCUGGCCAUUCCUAGACAAACCUUCACAGGGUUAUGUGCCAAGCAUGGUAUUAGUUCCAGAGGAUACAAAAAUGAAUUCAAGCUUUAAUUUGUGAAGCUCUCACCACACUUGGAGAGCACGUUGACAACUGGUGUGACAAAGUGUAAAAAACAGGUGUUCAGACUGUUUUGGGCAUGUAGAAAAUGGAAUUGACUUGAUGUGAUAAAAUUUUCGAAUUUACUUUUGUGUUUAUUCUACUGAUAAUCCUGAUGCUUUCUUUUUAACCUUAAAGAUUGUUGUUAAUCACUGAUGAAUUGGUAAGCAACUCUGUGUGUGUUCUAAAUCUAGUGAUGCGUUCAUUAACUGGAGACCAUUCACCUCGAUGGGGACAGUAAUAUGUCAAAAGACGGCCCAGUUCCACGCCAUCGAAGGGUCGUUAAAUACCACCGGGUGCAUCCUUGCUGGGAUUUGCUCAGGUGGGAAAUGGCAGCAUUUCGUCUUUUGCUGAUAGGUGCACUCAGGGUGCGGGAGUGAGCAGUUCAAAUUUAGAUGUUUAAAAAAAAAAUAAAAAACAAAAAAACAAAAAA
ensembl:lncRNA